UGUGUGAUGGAUGACUUGGCUUGAGUGCCGAUGAAGGGCGUGGCAAGCUGCGAUAAGCCGUGGGUAGACGCAAGCAGUCUAAGAUCCAUGGAUACCCGAAUAGGACUUCCGAACGCGCUUCGGCGCGUUGCUCCGAUAGGAGCGGUAACCCCCCGAAUUGAAACAUCUUAGUAGGGGGAGGAAGAGAAAACAACCGUGAUUUCCUUAUUAGUGGCGAACGAACAGGAAAAUGCUCAAACUGAACACGCAGGGAAACCUGUUGUGGAUGUGGUGUGAGGGCCAAGAUAGUUCCUCAUCAAAGAAGUCAAAGUGCUCUGGAAAGCUCCGCCAUAGAAGGUGAUAGCCCUGUAGACGCAAUUUGAUAGGAACAGUCUUGGUUCCCGAGUAACACUCCUUGGGAAUGGAGUGCGAACGUGGGAGACAUUAACUUCCAAAGCUAAAUACAACUCAAGACCGAUAGUGAAUUAUUACGGUGACGGAAAGUUGAAAAGACCCCCGCGAGGGGCGUUAAAAGAGCCUGAAAUCACACAGUUACAGACGGUUGGGGCCCUAAAGGUUAGAUGCAGUCGAACGAGGAUAUGGUAACGUAUCAUUAGGAAAGCUGCGGACCAGGGUUCCAUGCUCCGUCUCGAACCACGGGCCGGGGAGUUCACUUAUGUGGCAAGACUAAACCGAAAAGGGGUAAUCGUAGGGAAACCAAAAUGCGGACAGCCCUCUGGGCGAGCCGCUAGGUCUGAAAGGGCCUGAAGUCACGUGGGUGAGACUAGAAAUCAGGUGAUCUUUCCCUGAGCAGGACGAAGUCAGGCGAAAGCCUGAUGGAGGUCCGCAAUAGUAUUGAUAUGCAAUUCAUUUAUCUGACUUGGGGAAAGGGGCAAUAGGCCAAUCUAACUUGGUGAUAGCUAGUUCCUUCCGAAGUAUGUCGCAGCAUAGCCUCCGGGGAGACUGCAUGCGGGGUAGAGCACCAAUCAGGUGUCAUGGUGGGGAAACCCAUCACCACCUCUUUGAACUCCGAAUACGCAUGCGUUGUAGAACCGGGGAGACGGGUUGCACGGGUUAAGCUCGUGCUCCGCGAGGGGGACAACCCAGACUAAGGUUAAGGCCCCCAAAUCCUGGCUAAGUGAUAAAUCAAAGGGCGUCGUAAUCCUAAAACAGCGGGGAGGUAGGCUUAGAAGCAGCCACCCUUUAAAGAAAUCGUAACAGAUCACCCGCCGAGGAUUGGGGCCCCCAAGAUGGACGGGUCUCAAGCCAGGUGCCGAUACCUUAGGCAUCAUAAAUUGUGGUAGGAAGGCGUACCGUAUGGGCGGAAGCAAGGGGGAGACUUCUUGUGGACCGUGCAGGUAUUGCAGAUCCCGGUGGUAGUAACAGCAAAGUCGGGUGAGAAUCCCGAUCGCCGAAAGAGCAAGGGUUUCCCGGCAAUGCGUCGUCAGCCGGGAGUUAGCCGAUCCUAAGGGAAGCGUUAAAAUGACUUCUCGAAAGGGAAACUGGUUAAUAUUCCAGUGCUACAGAAGUACACGAGGUAACUCAAAGCCCAAUUGGAGACGAUUCGGGGAAGGUCGAGCAGGGUUGUCGCCCUGUUUAACUGACAAAGUCUGGGGAGUACCGUAAUGGUGAGAACCAGACGAAUUCAGGAAUAGUCUGCCGUUUAGGCGGAUUCGGCUGUACCCUGGAUCCCAUGAAAACCCAAUUGGGAUGGAUCUUCUGUAUUCGUACCCAGAACCAACACAGGUGCUCAGGGUGAGUAGCCCAAGGCGUGUCGGGUAGACUCUAGGUGAGGGAAUUCGGCAAAUUAGCCCCGUAUCUUUGGUAUAAGGGGUGCCUACGGCACUUGGGAAACCAGGUGCGGUAGGUCGCAGUGACUCGGGGGUUCCAGCUGUUUAAUAAAAACAUAGGUAGCCGCUAGGCCGAAAGGCUGUGUACGGCUAUUGAAUCCUGUCCAGUGGUGGUACCUGAAACUUGGUUACAACCGAGCUAAGGGCCGCUAAACGACGGGAGUAACUCUGACUCUCUCAAGGUAGCCAAAUGCCUUGUCGUGUAAGUUACGACGUGCAUGAAUGGAUCCAUGUGGACCCCGCUGUCCCCACCUAGAACCCGGUGAACCCACAGCUGCUGGACGAACAGUCCAGCGACUUCCAGUGGAACAAGAAGACCCCGUGGAGCUUUACUGCAGUUUGCUGCUGGGAAACGGUCCUGUUUGCAGAGCGUAUGUGGGAGCUGAUGAGUACGCAUCUCCGGGUGCGUAGGAGGCGACAAUGGAACACCACACAUUCAGGACUGCUUCCCUUACCAAGACCAUGUUGUCUGGGACAACGGUAGAUGGGCAGUUUGGCUGGGGCGGCACCCCCUUGAAAAGGAAUCGAGGGGGCCCAAAGACUAGCUCAGGAGGGACAGAAACCUUCCGUAGAGGGUAAAGCCAAAAGCUAGUUUGAUCGGAACUUUAACAAUAAGAGUUCCGACGGUGAAAGCCAGGCUUAACGAGCUAUCGUGUCCUUCUUAAUGAGGGCCGGUAGCGUCAGAAAAGUUACCCCGGGGAUAACAGGCUUGUCGCGGGCGAGAGUUCGCAUCGACCUCGCGGUUCGGUACCUCGAUGUCGACUCUUCCUAUCCUGGCCUUGCAUAAGGGGCCAAGGGUGAGGCUGCUCGCCUAUCAAAAGGGAUCGUGAGUUGGGUUUAGACCGUCGCGAGACAGGUCGGAUUUUAUUUACUGGGAGUGUUGGAUGUCUGAGGGGAAAGUGCGAUCAGUACGAGAGGAACAUCGCUCUGUGGCCUCUGGUCUACCGGUUGUCCGAUAGGGCAACGCCGGGCAGCUACGCCGCUUUGGAUAAGAGCUGAAAGCAUCUAAGCUCGAAGCCGUUCCUAAAAAUAGACAUCCGUACCUUCGGGUUGAAGGGCGCCGGUAGAAGACCGGUUUGAUGGAGCGGGGGUGUAAA
rnacentral:rRNA from 1 species